GGAAGGGCUGUAGCUAAGUGGUAGAACAUCUGCCUUGCAUGCACAGAAGGCCCCAGGUUCAACGCCCUGAUAUCUCCA